CCCUCUGUUGAGUAAUUGAACCUCUUCUUCUAAUGGCUGAAAUCACUCUCCCAGCCAAGCAGGCUGCAUGUCAGCUGAGGCAGUGUUGGCAUUGCUGAUGAAGCUUAGCAAGCUCGUCUGAGUAGGUGUGCAGCCUAGAGUUUAGAUAAGGUUUCCCAGAAGUUUUAGUUGCUCUUCACUUAUUUCAAUUUGGCUUUCUCCUUAGCUGGCUCCUACUAAACAUUUCAAGUUCAUGUUGCUAUCCUGGUUUUCAAUAGUAGGAAAUGCUAAGGUAGUCUAUAAAACUGUACCACUAUGCUUCACAUAGGAAAGCAUGCUUUUGCCUCUCCUGCCAUGGAAUAUGCCUCUAAAAUUGGCAAUCUCAGAAAUGCCUUGACCCUUCAGCAUUCCAGGAAGUUGGUCUGUCUCUUUUCUUUACAGCUUUUAAAAAAUGGAGUUGUGAGUUUCGGUUUGGGGGGUGUUGCUAAAAUUCUCUUGAAUAAGUGUUUUUUCAUAACAUAGUGCAUUCAUCAAUGCAGGUAGAAGAGUAACUCUCCCAGAAAAGAACUGUGGGAUGGAUUUGCUACAUGGGACUCCAAUAUAAUUUGACUCUAAGUGAAACUCAAAGCAAUGAUGUCAAUUUUCACCAUUCUUUUUUUUUUUUUAACAUUUUUUUUGAUAUUUUCUAAACCUGAGGGAGUGACUUUUUUUCCCCAUUUAGAUUUUGAUCCUGUCCUGUUAAAUCUAUGCCCAUUUCUCUUCAGCCACACACAUGAAUCAGCUGCACCCAAACUCCAUGCCUGAACCCUGAACAGUGAACGUCCUUCCUGUGGUCACAAAUUCUAUGCCCACAGCCCACAUACAAAGAAAGUGGCUCUUUGUCAUGACGGCUUCCAGUUGUUAAGCAGUUCCACAUGCCAGCCCCUUUCGCUUACCUUCCACAUGGGCCCCUUAAUUAAAAUGUAAACUAUACUUGCAUCACAAUCCUCAAGAGUUCACUACUUCUGCUUGGUCCCCCACCACCCCAUUCCAGUUUUUCUUCCCUUCACUCAGCCUCCCAGGAAGAGGAGCAUAACCAGGAGACAAUCACCUAGUCACCUGGCCCAGCCCUUGCACAUUUCUGACUUUCUUCUGGAUACGAUAGCCUACGUGGCAAUCUUUACAUCACCUCUCAUCAGCUGCAUGUUGGCUCCAAUGCUCCUACCAUUUCUCCUCGUGUAAUAGGGAAGAAGGAGUCUGACUCCAUAUUGGAUGUGUUUCUUUUACUUUAAUCUUUGUAUUCUAUUGCUCUUGGUGCAAGUUAGCUGCUAAAGAGAUGUUGCCUACAGCUUAAAGUAUACAUAAUGGUCCAUCUCUGGGAACCUUGCCUCUCAUGCCUGCUCCUUAAGCUAAAAUACCACGGUUUAGCUCAUAGGAAACAUCCUGACCAGGCCCACUUGUGAAUGGCUGCAGGAAGGAAGAAAUUAACACCUAUCUUCCAGAGUAUAGCCAGAACCAGGAAAUAUUUGCAACAAUUUAUAACUUCUUUUAUUUUACCUCCUCACUUCCUGCUCCUUGUUCUGUAAAAGAAACUAGCAUCCAAACCCAGGCAAGAUAGGUUCUUUGGGACACUCGUCCACCAUCUUCUCCAUCUGCCGGCUUUCCAAGUAAAGUCACUAUUCCUUGCCCCCAACAACCCGUCUUGAUUUAUUGUCCUGCAGUAUGUGCUUGGACUCAUAACACACAGUCAGUGCACUAAGUGAGAAAACUAAAAAGAACUGGCAUGAAUUCCCAUAAAUUCUUCCUCUCCAAGGCUAAAUGUUUUCUGUUCAGUUUCUGUUCAUUCUUAUUUUAUUCCUUUCCGUAAAGCUUCUUUCCAGGAAUACCUUCUCCACUGUGUGCUUUGUCCCAUCUGUUGAGUGGAAGCUAAGGGGAAGGAGGAUUCAAGUAGGAGAAUGGUGUGAGUUGGGAAAAGAAUCUCUGCUCGUGACCACUGCACUGGCUUCUAGAAAUCAUGCCAGGACUGACUGUCACCAAAAUGCAGGAUUUGAAGUUUCUGCUGGAAUGGGACUUCUCUCAAGAUGGACACUGGAGUGGACAGGUGUUGUUCUGGCUGACCACCUCCAGUUCUUCCUUCCACGGAUUUUUCUUUAGGAAAUGGAUUUGCUUUAGGAAAUCAACCUUUCUUCAGUUUUGGUGGGAUUCCUGAUCAAGAUACCCCACUCUACUCCUGCCAAAAGAUGGGGAAGUGAUGCCAGGUUGUCAGAUGCAUUUAAUUCAUGAGCAGAAUAACAUAGGGAUUGUAGACCUGAUUCAUGCUGGCCAGUGAAAACAUCUCUUUGUUCCUGAGGACAGGUGCCCAGAGCUGCUCUGAAACCUGGUUCUUUCAUUUUUCAUUCAAUUUCAUGAGCUAUCCUAUGUACUUUAACAAUUUUUCUUUUUGAAUUAAAUUACCCAGAGUCUGCUUAUAUUGCUUGCAAACAAAGAAAUAUAAAUGUUAUGGGACUUGAGUAAGUGCAUGUAAUAUGGUAUUGAAGAAAGGGCAUUAGAUUAGGAGUCAGAAAACCUUGGCUCUACCUCUAUUUCUGAUCUAGACAGCUGAGAUUUAUUUGUUCCCACAUUGUUAUACCUACAGAAUGAAGAUUCUCAGCUGAGGGAGCAUAUUAAGCCCUCUUGGGUGGCUUUUCAAAGUCACUCACACACUCAUUCUCCACACAAAUUCUGUCAGAAGUCUCUCCCUUCUCUUCACCUUUCUGAUGCAUCGCCUUCCCAUUGAAAGUUGGGUGGAAAAUAUUCUACUGGACUAGACUAUUUCCAAAGGUUCUUCUAAAUCUAAUAUCCCUUGAGUUGAUGAGAUACUUUUAAAAAUAUGUAACAGUUUCAGACAGGUUAUGAACAAAACUUUACAGUGAAAGCAGAUGGAGAUCUAGGAAUAGAAACAGGAAUCAAAUCUCAAAAAUUGGAGGAAUAGUUGGAAAGAUUUUGAUGUGAGUUGUCUUAAGUACAAUGAUAAAACUUGCAGCAAAUAUAUUUGUUAGGACUCAUGAGACUCCACACAGUUUAUUUCUCUAGCACGGGGGGGGGCCUUCAAUUUUUUUGAAAAAAAAAAAAAA
ensembl:lncRNA